rnacentral:rRNA from 1 species
UACGGGGGGGGUAAGCGUUGUUCGGAAUUACUGGGCGUAAAGGGUCUGUAGGUGGCUUGCUAAGUCAGACGUGAAAUCCCUCGGCUUAACCGGGGAACUGCGUCUGAUACUGGAUGGCUUGAGUUUGGGAGAGGGAUGCGGAAUUCCAGGUGUAGCGGUGAAAUGCGUAGAUAUCUGGAGGAACACCGGUGGCGAAGGCGGCAUCCUGGACCAACACUGACGCUGAGGCGCGAAAGCGUGGGGAGCAAACAGG